GCUUACGGCCAUACCACCUUAGGCACGCCCGAUCUCGUCUGAUCUCGGAAGCUAAGCAGGGUCGGGCCUGGUUAGUACUUGGAUGGGUGACCGCCUGGGAAUACCAGGUGCUGAAAGCA
rnacentral:rRNA from 1 species